UACGUGGGGGGCAAGCGUUGUCCGGAAUCAUUGGGCGUAAAGCGCGUGUAGGCGGUUCGGUAAGUCUGCUGUGAAAGUCCAGGGCUCAACCCUGGGAUGCCGGUGGAUACUGUCGGGCUAGAGUACGGAAGAGGCGAGUGGAAUUCCCGGUGUAGCGGUGAAAUGCGCAGAUAUCGGGAGGAACACCAAUUGCGAAGGCAGCUCGCUGGGACGUCACUGACGCUGAGACGCGAAAGCGUGGGGAGCAAACAGG
rnacentral:rRNA from 1 species